UUUCAGAUCUGAUACUGCCUUCUCAUCAAACCUGAAACAAUAAUGCAUUAAGCAAUAGAAUAUCAUCUGGAUUAAUCAUUUCUAACCAGUCAUUACAAGUGAUAUGACAAAGAAACAUUAUCUGAAGUUUCACAGUAAAUAAAGUUCACCUUCAUCUUAAAAACCAGCAGACUGAACUGUGAAAUUCAGAUCAACUCAAAGAUGGAGUUCCUCCCCAAAGAACAAUGUCAAAAUGUUUUACUGCGUACCAUUUUGCUUCAUGAUAUAAAUUAAUUCAAUGUAUUUUCUUAUGAGUUUCAUAUUAUGUUCAAUCGUCUUAUAAUGCAUGUGUGUCACUUGUAGUUUACUUACUCUUUCAUGAAGGAAAGUAGAAGCUUUUUACAAACUGUUCUUCUUCAGGAAGCAAAAGAAAAGACUAACACUUUAAGAGAGACUGAGAUUUAUUUUUAAAAUUGUUCUUUGUUGUUUUUAAAAUGACUGAGUUAUUCUUCUGCUUAGAUGUAUUUUGGAAAUGCAGAUAUACAUAAAUUUCUACAUAUGCCAUGUCAUGCCAUAGCAUCAUUAAACUACCAUUUAACAAUGGACAACAGUUUAUUUUUUUUCCUGUAACCUAUGGUUCUCUGACCAUAAAGGCUGCUUUGUAUAAUUCUUUGAAUGCCCUUAAAGAAUGCAGUGUCGUCAAUCGAAUCGAAUCGAAUUUAAUUGUGAUUCGAAUCUAAUUGAAUCAUUCUGAAUUAGCAAAAAUUGUUCUUGAAUCGAAUGGAAACGGGGCUCCAAGAGCCAUUAAAGAUAGUAGAGAGUCUCUGUAAUCUGGCUCAUUUGACUUACAAUGAAGAGAACAAGAACCUCACGCUAGAGACUUUGUUUAAUCAUCCAUCCAAUGUCAUAAUUUUUUACCUUAAUUAGGGGUUCAAGUGCAGUAGUGACAUCUACACCUGUGACUCAUGUUGUACCAGACACACUCUGAAGGCCAAAAUGCAUCAGUGUGAAACAGUUUAACUAUUCUAAAUGUUUCUAUUGUAGUAGCCAGUUUGUGAAUAAAGCCUUUUAUAACCCUUUUUUUGUGGAACUGAAGUGCCUUGGAUUUAUUUCUAUAAUAUACAGUCAUGUGAAAAAGAUUUAUUUAACUCCUUUUUAUUCUUGAUCAUUUUCAGUCCUCUUAAAUGCAUUAAUUACAUUUAUUCUAAAAAUGCAUUGUUUACUGAUGUUUUUACAGAAAACUUGUACCGUUAUAAAGUGCCAUGAAAAUAAAUAUAAAAUGUGAUGCUUUGUUUUUGAGACAGAAAGAACUGAGCAAGCGAUUAAUAAAUGCUCAGAGCUCAGAGGGGAAAUUGUUGAUGCUCCACUCCACUCACAAACUCUGCCGGACAUUAAUGUUGAGUAUAUAAGAAUAGGUGAUAAUGUUGUUUUAAUAUCUCCGCUAUAGAAGAUGACACAAGUAGGGCUGUGCAAUUAAUCGAAUUCGAUUGUCGUGCGCAUCUCGUCAGUAAAGACGGUCCCGUGAUUAGUACUAAAUCAGCAUCACCUGCUUUCAGAUGGAGCGGCUUUCACUACACAGAGCCGUAUUUCACUGACAAAUUAGGCGAUAUCGCGUUCGAAAUCGAAUGCGAUUCAUCUGCGAUUAUGAGGGCGAUUUUGCCUAAUUGUCAGUGAACUACGGGACCGGCUUUACUGACGAGAUGCGCACAACAAUCGAAUGCGAUUAAUUGCACAGCCCUAGACACAAGUAUUUUUAUUAAAGAUGAAAACCAGGUUCUGAGUGUUCUGAAAUGACUGAAUCUUUUUUCAAAAGCUUCAGGCCUCCUAAUCAACACAGACAAGAGCGAAAUACUUCUGUUCAUGACUCCAACAAAACAGUUAUCAGUGGAAUUAAGGUCAAGCAGAAAGUGAAACAUCUCGGAAUAACAAUUAAAAAAUCAGC
rnacentral:lncRNA from 12 species